CCCAUGAGUAACGCCAACGAACCCCACAUAACGAAUAUCAAAAUAAAUCCCGAUAACCUUUAUCGAGAAGAGUCCUUCACGGACCUGACGUAUGCCACGAUCCGGCGUCUUAUGCCCGUCAAGAUUGACGGCUCGCCUGAUGAAAGCCGGGAACCCCUUUUCACCGGCAUGGCCCAGUUGAUGUCCCCCAACGGACCGAUUCCGAUUCAGUGUGUGAUUGAAGGGGCCAAGACCCUCAGCGAUGCAGCCGCUAAAUUACCCGACGCCAUUGAAAAAGCUGUUCAGGCCAUGAUUGCCGAGGCAAAGGAAUUGGCGGGAGAGC
rnacentral:rRNA from 1 species